CAAUAGCGUAUAUUAAAGUUGUUGCGGUUAAAAGCUCGUAGUUGGAUUUCUGCCGAGGACGACCGGUCCGCCCUUCGGGUGAGUAUCUGGCUUGGCCUGGGCAUCUUCUUGGAGAACGUAGCUGCACUUGACUGUGUGGUGCGGUAUCCAGGACUUUUACUUUGAGGAAAUUAGAGUGUUUCAAGCAGGCUCACGCCUUGAAUACAUUAGCAUGGAAUAAUAAGAUAGGACCUAGUUUGUUUGUUGGUUUCCAGAGCUGGGGUAAUAGGGAGAGUUGGGGGCAUUCGUAUUUAACUGUCAGACGUGAACAUAUUGGAUUUGUUAAAGACGGACUACUGCGAAAGCAUUUGCCAAGGAUGUGUUCAUUGAUCAAGAACGAAAGUUAGGGGAUCGAAGACGAUUAGAUACCGU
rnacentral:rRNA from 1 species